CCUACGGGAGGCAGCAGUGGGGAAUAUUGCGCAAUGGGCGAAAGCCUGACGCAGCGACGCCGCGUGAGGGAUGAAGGUUUUCGGAUCGUAAACCUCUGUCAGAAGGGAAGAAACUACGUUGUGCUAAUCAGCAGCGUACUGACGGUACCUUCAAAGGAAGCACCGGCUAACCCCGUGCCAGCAGCCGCGGUAAUA
rnacentral:rRNA from 1 species